rnacentral:rRNA from 1 species
GUUAGUGUUAAUGACGUCGGGGGUACACUCGUUCCCAUACCGAAUACGAAAGUUAAGCCCGAUAGUGUUGAAAAUACUUGGCUGGCAACGGCCCGGGAAAAUAAAAAAAUGCUAACA